rnacentral:rRNA from 1 species
UGGGGAAUUUUGGACAAUGGGCGCAAGCCUGAUCCAGCCAUGCCGCGUGCGGGAAGAAGGCCUUCGGGUUGUAAACCGCUUUUGUCAGGGAAGAAAUCUUCUGAGUUAAUACCCCGGGAGGAUGACGGUACCUGAAGAAUAAGCACCGGCUAACUACGUGCCAGCAGCCGCGGUAAUACGUAGGGCGCAAGCGUUAAUCGGAAUUACUGGGCGUAAAGCGUGCGCAGGCGGUUUUGUAAGACAGAGGUGAAAUCCCCGGGCUCAACCUGGGAACUGCCUUUGUGACUGCAAGGCUUGAGUGCGGCAGAGGGGGAUGGAAUUCCGCGUGUAGCAGUGAAAUGCGUAGAUAUGCGGAGGAACACCGAUGGCGAAGGCAAUCCCCUGGGCCUGCACUGACGCUCAUGCACGAAAGCGUGGGGAGCAAAACAGGAUUAGAUACCCUGGUAGUCCACGCCCUAAACGAUGUCAACUGGCUUGUUGGGAAGGUUCCUUCUCAGUAACGUAGCUAACGCGUGAAGUUGACCGCCUGGGGGAGUACGGCCGCAAGGUUGAAACUCAAAUGAAUUGACGGGGUCAUAGCUGUUUCCU